AUUGAACGCUGGCGGCAUGCCUUACACAUGCAAGUCGAACGGUAACGGGUCCUUCGGGAUGCCGACGAGUGGCGAACGGGUGAGUAAUAUAUCGGAACGUGCCCAGUAGUGGGGGAUAACUGCUCGAAAGAGCAGCUAAUACCGCAUACGACCUGAGGGUGAAAGGGGGGGAUCGCAAGACCUCUCGCUAUUGGAGCGGCCGAUAUCAGAUUAGCUAGUUGGUGGGGUAAAGGCCUACCAAGGCAACAAUCUGUAGUUGGUCUGAGAGGACGACCAGCCACACUGGGACUGAGACACGGCCCAGACUCCUACGGGAGGCAGCAGUGGGGAAUUUUGGACAAUGGGCGCAAGCCUGAUCCAGCAAUGCCGCGUGCAGGAAGAAGGCCCUCGGGUUGUAAACUGCUUUUGUACGGAACGAAAAGGCUCUGGUUAAUACCUGGGGCUCAUGACGGUACCGUAAGAAUAAGCACCGGCUAACUACGUGCCAGCAGCCGCAGUAA
rnacentral:rRNA from 1 species